rnacentral:rRNA from 1 species
GACGAACGCUGGCGGCGUGCUUAACACAUGCAAGUCGAACGGAAAGGCCCUGCUUUUGUGGGGUGCUCGAGUGGCGAACGGGUGAGUAACACGUGAGUAACCUGCCCUUGACUUUGGGAUAACUUCAGGAAACUGGGGCUAAUACCGGAUAGGAGCUCCUGCUGCAUGGUGGGGGUUGGAAAGUUUCGGCGGUUGGGGAUGGACUCGCGGCUUAUCAGCUUGUUGGUGGGGUAGUGGCUUACCAAGGCUUUGACGGGUAGCCGGCCUGAAAGGGUGACCGGCCACAUUGGGACUGAGAUACGGCCCAGACUCCUACGGGAGGCAGCAGUGGGGAAUAUUGCACAAUGGGCGGAAGCAUGAUGCAGCAACGCCGCGUGCGGGAUGACGGCCUUCGGGUUAUAAACCGCUUUCGCCUGUGACGAAGCGUGAGUGACGGUAAUGGGUAAAGAAGCACCGGCUAACUACGUG